GACGGAAGGUGCAAGCGUUGCUCGGAAUCACUGGGCGUAAAGGGUGCGUAGGCGGCGCGGUAAGUCGGGUGUGAAAUCUCGGGGCUUAACUCCGAAACUGCAUUCGAUACUGCCGUGCUUGAGGACUGGAGAGGAGACUGGAAUUUACGGUGUAGCGGUGAAAAUGCGUAGAUAUCGUAAGGAAGACCAGUGGCGAAGGCGGGUCUCUGGACAGUUCCUGACGCUGAGGCAC
rnacentral:rRNA from 1 species